rnacentral:rRNA from 1 species
UGAGGAAUAUUGGGCAAUGCCCGCAAGGGUGACCCAGCAACGCCGCGUGGAGGAUGAAUGUCGUAAGAUUGUAAACCCCUGUUAGAGGGGAAGAAUAGUACCGGUUGGACCGGUAUAUGACUGUACCCUCAGAGAAAGCACCGGCUAACUACGUGCCAGCAGCCGCGGUAAUACGUAGGGGGCAAGCGUUGUCCGGAUUUACUGGGUGUAAAGGGCGCGCAGGCGGCAUAAAAAGUCAGUGGUGAAAUCCUACAGCUUAACUGUAGAACUACCUUUGAUACUUUUAUUUUUGAGUUCGGGAGAGAGAGACGGAAUUCCAGGUGUAGUGGUGAAAUACGUAGAUAUCUGGAAGAACACCAGUUGCGAAGGCGGUCUCUUGGUCCGACAC